rnacentral:lncRNA from 1 species
UUGGUACACAUUUCACCAAGAAUAUAAGUUCACAUCGCAUCAAUCUCACAGAAAGAACACAUAAUAAGGAUCUUAAUUUUCAAGAGGCAUUCCUUCGGUUAUCACGCUGAGCAACAACCAGUUGCAGCAAAACAAUCAAUAACACUUAAAACUACCAAACUAAAACCUUAAGCCUGAGAAUCUGCAUCUCCAUACAUAACACAACAACAAAUACCUAUACAUAAGUGGUCAAAUUCACUAUUGAACUAUCUUCCAGAAAGGAUCAUCAAAUUAUUCUCAGGUUCCAGAGUGAAUGCCUACAUCACGAUCACACGCAAUGGGCACAAGCAUCCGCUUACUGAAGGCCCGUGUUUGCACCUAAAGCCAAGCAAGAGCUUAGACUCGAGCUUCGUACCAGGCCAAUGUUGUCCAUGAUUCGCAAGCACGUCCUUUAAGUUCUUGAAACAGAGUAGAAACCUGCAUAUAUUUGUAAUCAGAAAUUAGAGAGAUCAACAAAGAAAAAGGAGGGAAAGUCUCAUUAUUUUGGGAAUUCCUAUUUUAUUAGGGAAAGGGAGCACAAGAGAUUCUUAAUCCAUCCUAGUGAGGUUACAAUAUCCAUGCAAAAAACCAGGGGGAAAGAGGAGGCAGUAAUUCCAUGUAAGAAUCAUAAUGUAGUACCAGUAGUGACAUAGAAUAACAUAGAGAUUGCGAUAAGGUUUUAUAAUGUAUAUAUAUGGCAUGGAUCUCACCAUUAUUUGCUGGAGAUUAAUAACACAAAUUAUUAUUUUUGCAUGUAUCCUGCCAUCACGUGCAUUAUUUCAUUUUAGUACUUAGUAAACAACAAAGUUAAACUUGCACCAUCCCAACAAGUGGAUCUUCUAGUUACUCUGUCAAUCAACAUAUUGACUUGAAAAGAACUAAUAUUCCAUACAAUCGAGAAAAUAAAAUUCAAGUAGCAACAAUGCAGGUAUAUGGACUGAACUCUUCCUCAAAAUAAUACGUAUAUGCUUCAGAUUUAACUACCAUGUAUUUAUUCCACCUAUCUUCUAACCAGAUAGUUUAAGAGACUCUCACUAAAAAUGUUAAAAUGAGAAUCCUAUGAAAUAUCAUGAAAUACAGAAGGUUCUUUAUAAAUGAAGAAGAUGGUUAACAGGGCAAGCUUAGAAUAAUCCACUAAAGCAAAGAAUGUGAGUAUAAUUGAAAAAAGCAUGUCACAGCAAUUCCACACACACACACACAAUGUGCCACAUAGAAAUUCAGGAUAGCAAAAGAAAAAAUUAGUUACUUAGCCUUAUAUCAAUCUCCACCGAUGGUUGGAUCCUCCAUUGCUGCAACUCCGCCUGCUUUUAAUGGCAUAGGUGAGCGCGCGCACACACACACACAAUGACCUAUAGGCGGCCGACGGAUUACGUUAGCGUAUCACGUGAGGUUGAGAAAGCACGUAUCCAUGUCGAGCACCAAUGGGCUUGUUUGCACAUAUUUUGAAUGAUGAUAGUAUCAAAGUGACUUGAGGUGCCUAGAAAAGCAGAGUGAGCACUACAUAUAAUAUUAGCAGUUAAAGAAAUGAUAAAUACCGUGGUUAACUCAACAGAUCCAUCCAAAUAUCUAACAACCAUUUGUGACUUGUUGGAAGUAUACCAGAACGACAACCUUCUACAACACAUGUAACUCUAAACAGAUCCAAGUUCUCGGGUCUAAAAUAAUCUUAGACAAACAAACAACUUGUCGGAGUAAAUGGCCACGGGUAGCCUAACCGACUGCCCCUGGCUCUUCAAAAAUUAUCAGGCCAUUUGAGCCUUCAAGCAUUCAAGCAUUGGGCCGCCUUCCCCGGUCGGCUACCUCUGAAACCGACUCUCAGAAGGCGACCCAGCCUCAGCAACCUCCCCCCAAGAUAACCACGGGAUGGCCGACUCCAGGAAGCCGGCCAUAGAGGAUGCCGACUCCCCAGAGCCGGCCAUGAAGAACGCCGACUCCCCAGAGCUGGCCACGAAGGGCGCCGACUCCAAGAAGCCGGCCAAGCCCGCACCCACCAAAACUACAUCCACAUAACGGUGACAAGACGGGGUGUGGCCACAGUGCGGCCCACUACCCCCAAAGCCCGAGGCAGGCAUGGCCACAGGACGUCGUACGGGGCGGCCAUAUCCCGUCCAGCUCGGCACUGUAGCCAUGCUGGCCUCAACGUCACCCACGACAGACGCCAGUACGGCCCACGGGCGGCGGGACCCUUUAGCCAGAGAGAGGCGCGAAGGCGGCCCGGCCUCCCCCAGUCGGCCAAGGGCGUAGCCAGCCCCCAGAAGCCGGCUACCCCCUCCCUUGAAGCAUGUGCCACAUUAAGGAGACAAGACAAGGUAAGGCUACAGUGAGAGCCCUCAAGGCGGCACACUGUAGCCACGCUUACCUCGACGAAGCCCUCGUCAUCAGGGACGAGGCUACAGUAAGCAGCCGCUGACAAGACCCCUAGGCAGUGGGGCCGGCCUGUCGACCAAGAGGCCGGCAGCCGGCGGGACCCACUAGUCGGCAGGCCCCAACAGCCGGCGGAGAAGCCGGCGAGCGCAGACACUGACGACUGGGACUCGCGCCCAGCCGGAUUACAAUUGUACCCCCGGGGGGUAGGCCUAUUUAAACCCCCCGGGGCACCCAUGCAAAGGGUUGGCUUCUUAGAGUUACACACACACCAUAGAGAGAGGGAAGCAAGAGCUAGCCUUGCUCUUCUUCUCCCUUGAACCCGACAGCUCUAGGAGCAUUUGUAGCUACUCUUUCCGAUCUAGUGAUCAUGCGGAGACCCCGCAGAGCAGGACUAGGGGUGUUAUCUCCUCGGAGAGCCCCGAACCUGGGUAAGAUUCGCCGGCGUGCAUGUCUUCGCCUCAUCCCGUUUCCAGGCACCGGCGACGUCUUACUGGCACCCACCAUGAUAAGCCACCCGUUGGCAUAUGUCGCACCUACCACCCGACAUUUGGCGCCCACCGUGGGGCCAGGUGCACCGUUGUCCGGAGACCUGUUCUGGACGGGAACCCUUUUCCUCCCCCGCGAGCGCAGCCAGCCUGCUGCGCCCGAUGGCGCUUGCCUCGACGCGCUGCAAGGCGUCGACGACGCCUGCGCAGCGAGCUGCCUCGCCGAUCUGCUCGGCGAGACUCGCAUCUCCGACGAGCCCGCAUCCGACGCGGGCACAGACUACCCCGAGAGCCGCCUUGUCAGCCUCCUCGACCAGCUUCACGUCUCUAGCGAGCCUGCUGUAGAUGUGGAGUCGGUCGGCUCCACCGACCCGAUGCUCGUCGACUCCGACACGGCAUCGCUCGACACCUACCCCUCCGACGUGGUGGUCUUCGACGAUCCUCUCCCUCGAGCUGACAGUGGCAGCAGCGCUAUCACCGAAGUGUUGGUCAUCAGCCACGUCGCCAACUCGGGCGAGAACGCCCACGACGCCCUGCAAGCGGCAAUGCACGACCUAUCCGUCCCCAUCCCCGCCGACGCCGACGCCGAGACCCUGGAGGCACGCCGCCUCGCCCUCGUCGCGGAAGGCCAGAAGAUAGCCUCCAUGAGACGCCUCACCGAGGCCCACCAGCACGAAGUCGACCGCGCCGCCUUCGGUACGCCGCCGCCUAGCGGGCCGAGCCGAGCCGGCUUCGUCCAGAAGCGUGGCGCGGCUAUCACCAGCAUGCUGCGGGCAGAUCGCCCUGUCUACGCCACCCCGCUCGAGAAUCUGCGAGCCGCUCAGGCGGCCGCUGAGGAGCUAAAUGGGCUGGGAGCCGACGAGCUCCCCUACAUGACAAGGCGGGUCCAGCAGCUGAUCGACGCGGCUGCAGAACGGCACGAAGCCGGCGCCCGCGCCGAUAGUCAUCCCCCGCGCCGGGAGCACGCCGUGACGUCCCGCUCACCGACUGCAAGCGGCGCCCGCCAGAAGAAGGACAAGGAGCCGGCUGCUAGCCGCAGCCGGACUCGCAUCACCAUCGAGCGCGACGCGGAAGGCCGCCCUCGAGCGGUGGAGCGCCAAGGAAAUCUGCCUCCUCCCCCGCCUCGAAGGGAGAGACGUCUCACCCCGCCGCCCGUCACGCACCCGACUCUUGGUGACCGACUAGGCCGCCGAGAAGGAGUCGGCGAGAACGAAGCCCUCCACCGGAUCGACCGCCUUGCUUGAUCCCUGGCGCUAGAAGAAGAAGACGAUGUCAGCCCGCCAUGCUUUGGCCCCUGCAUCCGCGACGAGCCCUUCCCCAAAGGGUUCUCGCUCCCCAGAGACACGCCCAAGUACAAUGGCUCUGUGAAGCCGGAAGAUUGGCUCAUCGACUACUCCACUGCUGUCAGCAUAGCCAACGGCAAUCGGCGCGUGGCCGUAAAGUACGUCCCCCUCAUGUUGCAAGGCACGGCGCGCACCUGGCUCAACAGCCUCAAGCCCUACAGCAUCAACAGCUGGCUGGACUUCACGGAAGUCUUCGUCCGCAACUUCACCAGCACGUACAAGCGGCCUCCCAAGCCUCGCCGGCUCUCCCUGUGCGUCCAAGGGCCCAACGAGUCGACCCGCGACUACCUCACGCGGUGGGCCGAGCUCCGCAACUCCUGCGAGGGGUGCACGAGGUCCAGGCCAUCGAGUACUUCGCCGCCGGGUGCCGAGAGGGCACCCUCCUCAAGCACCGACUCCUCUGCGACGAGCCGGCUACCCUCGACGAACUGCUGAUCAUCGCGGACAAGUAUGCCACGGCCGACUCCUCGAUGAAGACCGAGCUCCGAGUGGACGCCUCUGGGAAGGUGCUCGCUCCGGCUCCAAAGACGCCGGCUGGCGACUCCAAUCGGCGCCCCUACCAGAACGAUCACAAGCGCAAGGCCCCCAUGCCGCCUUCCACCAGUCGGCAUGUGGCCACAGUUGAAGAUGAGCAGCCCGAAGAGCGGCCCGCUCCCAAGAAGAAGGGUGGCAGGCCGGCUUGGCAGCCGGCUUUCUCUUACGAGCAGACUCUCGACGCCCCCUGCAAGUUCCACAGCGGCGCGAAGCCGUCCAACCACACGACCCGAAAAUGCCACUGGCUCACGCGAAUCUCCAAGGGCGAAGGGCUGGUGCCGCCUCCGCCUCCCGGCCCGCCGCCUCCAGCCCCCCAGCAGCCGGCGGCUCGGCCGGCAGUCGGAGCCAUUCAAGACGAGUUUCCCGAAGAGCACGCCGCCUACGUCGUCUUCACCAGCCAAGCCGAAGACAAGCGCAGUCGGCGCUGUCAGCAUCAAGAGGUCAACGCAGUCGCCUCUAGCGCCCCCGAGUUCAUGCACUGGUCAGAUAAGCCAAUCAGCUGGAGUCAGGCCGACCACCCAGAGGUGAUGCCAUCCCCUGGCUCCUAUGCACUGGUCUUGGAUGUCACUCUCGCGACGAGGACGCGAGCUGCCCGAUUUUCCCGCGUCCUGAUAGAUGGCGGAAGCAGUAUCAAUAUACUGUACUACGAUACCAUGGAGAAGCUGAACAUCAAGGCGAAGCAGCUUAUGCCAAGCCGAACCGUGUUCCAUGGUAUCGUCCCCGGCUUGUCUUGUUCCCCGAUCGGCAAGAUCAAGAUGGAUGUUCUCUUCGGAGACAAAGAUCAUUUUCGCCGAGAAGCGAUCUGGUUCGAAGUAGUGGAUCUGGAGAGCCCCUAUCAUGCUUUGCUUGGCCGACCUGCUCUGGCCAAGUUCAUGGUUGUGCCCCACUAUGCCUACCUGAAGAUGAAGAUGCCGAGCUCGAAGGGGAUCAUCACGGUAGCCGGCGACUACAGGAAGUCCAUCGAGUGCGCCAUGGCCAGUAGCCAUCUGGCCGAGUCCCUUGUAGUGGCCGAAGAGAAGAAGAUGCUGGAACGGGUUGUGGCCAUGGCCGGCAAGCAGCCGGCCCUGUCCCCCAAUCCCAAGGACUGUGAUGCACAAGGCUCCUUCCAGCCGGCCAAGGAGACGAAGAAGAUACCUCUGGACCCGGAGAAUCCGGAGAGGUUUGCCGUCAUUGGGGCAAACUUGGACAGUAAAUAGGAAGCCGAGCUCGUCGACUUCCUCUGUGAGAAUCGAGACAUUUUUGCAUGGUCCCCAAAGGACAUGUCCGGUGUCCCGAAGGAUUUCGCCGAGCACAAAUUACAUGUCCGAGCCGACGCGAAGCCGGUCAAGCAGCCCCUCCGCCGAUUGUCAGAAGAGAAGCAAAGAAUCGUAGGAGAAGAGAUAGCCCGGCUCCUCGCCGCUGGCUUUAUUAUGGAAGUGUUUUUUCCAGAGUGGCUUGCCAACCCAGUUCUGGUAUUGAAGAAGAACAACAAGUGGCGUAUGUGUAUAGACUACACCGGCCUGAACAAGGCCUGCCCCAAGGAUCCGUUUGCUUUGCCACGGAUCGACCAAGUGAUUGACUCCACAGCCGGAUGCGAGCUGUUGAGUUUUUUGGAUGCCUACUCAGGGUACCAUCAGAUCAAGUUGGACCCAGCAGACCGCCUGAAGACUGCCUUCAUCACACCAUUUGGAGCUUUCUGCUACCUAACUAUGACAUUCGGCCUGAGGAAUGCCGGUGCCACUUUUCAGCGUUGCAUACAGAAAUGCCUCCUCAAGCAACUCGGCAGAAAUGCCCACGUCUAUGUAGACGACAUUGUGGUGAAGACAGAGAAGCGCGGCACCCUGCUGGAAGACCUGAAAGAAACAUUCGCCAACUUGCGCCGAUUCCAAAUCAAGCUCAACCCCGAGAAAUGCGUGUUCGGAGUACCAGCCGGCCAGCUGCUAGGCUUCCUGGUCUCCGAACGCGGCAUCGAGUGCAACCUUGUGAAAAUCAAGGCCAUCGAGAGGAUGGAGAUUCCCACCAAAUUGCGAGAUGUGCAGAAGUUCACCGGGUGCCUGGCCUCCCUAAACCGCUUUAUCAGCCGACUAGGAGAGAAGGCUCUCCCCCUGUACCGACUCAUGAAGAAGUCCACUCACUUCGAGUGGAAUGACCAAGCCGACCAAGCCUUCCAUGAGUUGAAGAAGAUGCUGACCACUCCGCCUGUCCUGGCAGCGCCGACUGAGAAGGAGCCCAUGCUCCUCUACAUUGCCGCUACUAGCCGAGUAGUCAGUACAGUUGUUGUGGUCCAGCGCCCGGAAGAAGGCCGAGCCCAGCUAGUCCAGAGGCCGGUGUACUACCUAAGCGAAGUGCUAUCCAGCUCAAAACAGAACUACCCGCACUACCAGAAGAUGUGCUAUGGGGUGUACUUCGCCGCCAAGAAACUGAAGCCCUACUUCCAAGAGUAUCCCAUCACGGUCGUGUGCACCGCCCCGCUCGCCGAGAUAAUAGGCAGCCGGGAUGCAUCCGGCCGGGUGGCUAAAUGGGCCAUUGCACUGGCGCCAUACACGAUCUUCUACCAACCCCGCACCGCCAUCAAGUCCCAAGCACUGGCCGACUUCCUCGUCGACUGGGCCGAGACCCAGUACCUACCGCCGGCUCCCGACUCUACCCAUUGGCGGAUGCACUUCGACGGGUCCAAGAUGCGCACCGGCUUGGGAGCCAGCAUCGUCCUCACCUCUCCCAAAGGCGACAAGCUCAGAUACACGCUGCAGAUCCACUUCGCCGCCUCCAACAACGUGGCCGAGUACGAGGCGCUCGUACAUGGGCUCCGGCUAGCCAAAGAGCUCAGCAUACGCCGGAUCCUGUGUUACGGCGACUCAGACUUGGUGGUCCAGCAGUCGUCUGGCGACUGGGACGCCAAGGACGCGAACAUGGCGAGCUAUCGAUUCCUCGUCCAGCAGAUCAGCGGGUACUUCGAAGGGUGCGAGUUCCUUCACGUGCCAAGGGCCGACAACGACCAAGCAGAUGCCCUAGCACGGAUCGGCUCCACCCGACAAGCCAUACCGACUGGCGUCUCCCUCCAGCGCCUCCUCAAGCCGUCCAUCAAGCCGUCUCCAGAGUCGGACUCUAUCUUCGUACGGCCUGUGCCAGAUGCAGCCGGAUCCGACUGGAGGAACCCCGCAGGCAGCACGGGGACUUCGACAACUGGCCCGUCGACUGCCGUAGUCGCACCCGGCCCGGGGACUUCAGAACCCGGCCCGGGGACUACAGCAGUCGGCCCGGGGACUGCAGCAACACAAGAAGCGGUGGCCGACUCCAAUUCCACGCCUCCCGACCCACCCACCCGAGUCAUGGUGGCCGUCCUAACAGAAGAAGAAGUCACAGCUCCAUCAUGGGCCCAGCCCAUCCUCAAGUUCCUAGUCAGCAGAGAGCUGCCGGCUGAUGAAAUCUCAGCAAGACUGGUGCAACGACGAGCCGGAGCAUAUGCAAUAAUCAACAGAGAGCUUGUUAAGCGCAGCGUCACUGGAGUCUUCCAGCGUUGUGUCGAGCCAGAGAAAGGAGUGGCAAUCCUCAAGGAUAUCCAUCAAGGCGAAUGCGGCCACCACGCUGCCUCAAGAUCACUUGUGGCCAAAGCUUUUCGCCAUGGUUUCUUUUCGCCGACUGCUUUGGAAGAUGCCAAAGAGAUAGUCAAGAGCUGCAGAGGAUGCCAAGUUUUCAGUUCCAAGCAACACCUGCCGGCUUCUGCACUCAAGACCAUUCCCCUCACCUGGCCCUUUGCCGUCUAGGGACUGGACAUGGUGGGCCCUUUCAAGACAGCCCGCGGCGGCUUGACACACCUGCUUGUCGCCGUGGACAAGUUCACCAAGUGGAUCGAAGCGAAGCCGAUCAAGAAGCUGAACGGGCCGACUGCCGUGACAUUCAUCACUGACAUCACUACUCGGUACGGCGUGCCGCACAGCAUCAUCACCGACAACGGCAUGAACUUUGCCAAAGGAGCACUGGCACGUUUCUGCGCGACGCAGGGCAUCCGACUGGACUUAGCGUCCGUUGCCCACCCGCAGUCAAACGGCCAGGUCGAGCGAGCAAAUGGACUCAUCCUCUCCGGCAUCAAGCCCCGAUUGGUUGUACCACUGGAGCAAUCGGCCGGCUGCUGGCUCGAUGAGCUGUCGGCUGUCCUCUGGAGUCUGCGCACUACACCCAGCAAGUCAACCAGCUUCACUCUGUUCUUCCUUGUAUAUGGUGCCGAGGCUGUCAUCCCAACCGACAUCGAGUUCGACUCGCCUCGGGUCACCAUGUACACGGAGGCGGAGGCCAAGGAAGCAAGAGAAGACGACGUCGACCUACUAGAAGAAGGCCGGCUGUUAGCACUCAGCCGGUCCGCCAUCUACCAGCAAGGGCUGCACCGCUACCACAACCGCAAGGUCAAGCCAAGAUCCUUCCAAGAGGGCGACCUUGUGCUUCGGCUGAUCCAGCGAACAGCCGGCCAGCACAAGCUCUCGGCCCCUUGGGAAGGCCCCUUCGUCAUCAGCAAGGCACUAGGCAAUGACUCCUACUACUUGAUCGACACGCAAAAACCAAGAGCACGCAAGAGAGAUGACUCCGGCAAGGAGUCGGAGCGACCAUGGAACGCGAACCUCCUAAGAAGAUUUUACAGUUGAAAGCAGUAUGUAUGAUGCUACCCUUUUGUAUUAGGUACGAACCAACAGGCCCCCCGAACAGUACUCAGGGACUGCCUUUAUUUAUCUAUGAAUGACGAGUGUCAUAUCCAUGAAUGUAUUAUUACAUUUGAUUUCUUGUCUGGCACCGGGUUCGACUAGUCGGCCCGGGGACUGGCCGCCUUGAGCUAUAUUAAAAGUUCUACCUGAAGUCAGACAAGUAGUGUGCCAGCUCCCGAGUCCUCCCUUGUUGAAAGUCGCAGCUCAAAGAACCGACUGUCCGACUAGCAAGAGACAAGGCAGAAAGGAUGCCCACACGAAAAACGGCUAAGGACUAACGAACUUAUAUAGCAAAAAGACGGCCUCCAACCACGCUUGCCGGCUGUCAGAACAGCCGGCUGGCCGGCUUCCUAAACACUUAGCUCUAAUCCAACAAAGCUAGAGUACUUGCCCUCCCAAUUGGCCAAGCACUCAUCCAGCCACAGAUUGCAGAGCAACUGUCUGACUGGGGAGGCGGCAACCAAGGGAGGGCGGCAAAGGAAACAGCAGAAGGAUGAAAAGCAAAGAACGAGGAAAAGCCAAACGCAUGCAUAAGUCAUAUAUACAUAUAAAGCCCCCAACAGGCCGGCAAUCGACAUAGUUCGAAUACACCCCCAGUGGGUGGAAUUGUGCAGACUUAACAGAAUAUUAUUCCAAAAGUGACAAGACAGGAAAACAAAAGAUAGCAGACUAGACUAAGGCGCGGUGCGGGAGCCAGGCUGGUCGGUGGAGAUGGCGUCGCCGGCUGAAGGAGUGGCCGGCUGGCGGGUCUCGUCUUGGUCACCACCGGUGGCAGGCGACGCACCCGCGCGUGACGUGGUGCUGGAGGCACGGUCAGGCUGAGACUGGUCGGCCGCUCCACCAUCCGGCUCGGCGUCUUCACCCUCCUCCUCCUCCUCUUCGCCCUCGUCGCUGGAGUCGAUCUCCUCCGCCGAGUCUUCACCGUCUGCCGGGUUCAGCCCGAACCACUCCUCCGGCUGGGCGACACCGUUGUCAUCUACCUCAGGGGCGAAGACGCUGGUGUCGGUGUAGUCGGCGAUCGCCGAAGCCCGCCAUAUGAUAGCCGGCCGCGCCGGCUCCAGCUCCGUGUCGGCCUGCUGCCGCCAGGUAGCCAGCUGGUCCAGACUCAGGCCGGGAUACCAGGCCUUGACGAACUCCAGCGCCCGCCUGGCGCCGGACCGAGCCGCCGAGGCCUUCCAGGCUUCGAAGCGACCGACCGCCACCACCAGCCAGUCGGCAGUCUGACUGGGGGUGCGGAGAACCACUUCGCCGGGCCAGAGGGCGGCCAAUACUUGCGCCCCGGCACGCUGAAGCCGGCGGAGCAGUCGGUGAGCCGGCUGGAGACGGGCCUGGAUCGCCAAGAGCUGCUCCUCCAGCGAACGGCCAGCGUUUGGUGCAAUCUCGACGCCAGCCUGCCUUCGUGCUUGGCGGCGGGCUUCGAUGAUCUGGUUGGCGGCGGUAGAGUAGCCAGGGAAGUACUCUGCGCAAGAAAGAAAGAGAAAGAAAAGAAAACACCAAGUCAGAAAACGAGCCAAAAGCGGCAGACGGCAAGAAAGGACGAAGAAGUAGGCGGCUUACCGUCAACCAGAUCUUCGAUCUGGCCAUAGCCAUUGAUCAGAGUCUGCUUUGCUUCAGCCCAGCCAGCCGCUUCUGUCUCGUACUCGGCCUAGAGGGCGGCUUCGCGGUCCUGCACCGCCUUCAGAGCUGCCUUGUGUCCCUCCUCCUGGUCGGCCAACCUCUUGGCUAGGCGGUCACGUUCCUGCACCAAGGCGGCAAACUCGGCCUCCUUGGCACGAAGGGCCGUCUGAGACUCUCCCAGCUGUGCCCUCAGACCGGCGUUGGCCGCUGCAGGGACGGCAGAAAAAGAAAAAACAAUAAGAGGAAGUCGUCAAGGAAGAUCCGACCCGACUGCUCAGCAGUCGGCCCGAAUCUCGGGGACUACACCUAGUGGGUGCGCUGACGCGCCCCCACAUGAGAUAAAGAACAAAGCACUUACCCCGACUCUCAGUUAGGUCGGCGGUCUUCUGGGUCAGCUCCCGAGCCUGGGAGUUGAAGGCGACCGCACGAAGAUUGUG